AACGAACGCUGGCGGCAGGCUUAACACAUGCAAGUCGAGCGAGACCUUCGGGUCUAGCGGCGGACGGGUGAGUAACGCGUGGGAACGUGCCCUUCUCUACGGAAUAGCCCCGGGAAACUGGGAGUAAUACCGUAUACGCCCUUUGGGGGAAAGAUUUAUCGGAGAAGGAUCGGCCCGCGUUGGAUUAGGUAGUUGGUGGGGUAAUGGCCCACCAAGCCGACGAUCCAUAGCUGGUUUGAGAGGAUGAUCAGCCACACUGGGACUGAGACACGGCUCAGACUCCUACGGGAGGCAGCAGUGGGGAAUCUUAGACAAUGGGGGCAACCCUGAUCUAGCCAUGCCGCGUGAGUGAUGAAGGCCUUAGGGUUGUAAAGCUCUUUCAGCUGGGAAGAUAAUGACGGUACCAGCAGAAGAAGCCCCGGCUAACUCCGUG
rnacentral:rRNA from 1 species